rnacentral:lncRNA from 1 species
AGAGAUCCUCAAAAAAAAACUUACACAUUGAAGAUAACAAAUAUAUUUUCUCUCCAUAUACAUCACCAUCAUCUUCAACUCAAAAACAAUCAUUUCUUCACUCUUAUCUCACUAGAUUCACUCAGAGACUCAUCUCUCUCAUUUUUCAGAGUCUAAAAAAAAGCUCUCACACGAAAAACUUCCACACCAGCUCACAAUUUUAUAAACAUCUUUUAAUCCCCUCAAGCUACUCCAUCACCAUCUACUUCCUUCUGUCGUAGCCCACACACUUUCCUUUCACCACCUGCCCUUCUUCUUCGUCCACCUCCAACAUGCAUCAACACAACAACACUCCAAACUACAAUAACAAAACAACAACCACUUCUUUCACCACCAAAACAACACGACGCUAACAACAUCCACACGAUCCAAAACCACUCUCUUCUGCCACCUUCAUCACAACUCACCAUCACAAACGCAUAGAAUUAUGUUGACCGGCCUCAAAUAGGAUGAUUCCUACAUUAACCGUUUUACGAUUUUUUAACAUAGCGCUAAAUGAUAUAGUUCAAAUUUUUUAUUUUAUUUCGAGUCCCUUGGUUUUUUCUUUGACCUUCUUACAACGAGAUUUUUUCUUACCAUUGUUUUUUGAGUUUGCAUUGUUAAUUAUUGUACUAUAUCCUCAUUCGAUAAAUUGUACCCUCAUUCCUAUUAUGUGUAGUAAGUUUACUGCUUUCAUUUAUUUUAUUGUGCUAGUUGAUUGUUAAUUCAAAGCUUAAAAUUAAUCUUUUAAAAAAAAAAUAGACACUGGAUCCAAUAUCAAUUCAUUGUUUUAGUAUUGUCUGCUUAUUUAAUUCUUAGGCAUUUGGAUUUGAAAUUAAGAUUUUUAAGCAACUACAAAGUAUUAUUUAUGAAUUUUCUUCCAUAAAAUACAGCUAUUUGUAACCCACAUUUAAUAUAAGUCUUUCAUUCG